UACAGAGGUCUCAAGCGUUGUUCGGAUUCAUUGGGCGUAAAGGGUGCGUAGGCGGCGCGGUAAGUCGGGUGUGAAAUCUUGGAGCUUAACUCCGAAACUGCAUUCGAUACUGCCGUGCUUGAGUACUGGAGAGGAGAUUGGAAUUUACGGUGUAGCAGUGAAAUGCGUAGAUAUCGUAAGGAAGACCAGUGGCGAAGGCGAAUCUCUGGACAGUUACUGACACUGAGGCACGAAGGCCAGGGGAGCAAACGGG
rnacentral:rRNA from 1 species